CCUACGGGAGGCAGCAGUGAGGAAUAUUGGUCAAUGGGCGCGAGCCUGAACCAGCCAAGUAGCGUGAAGGAUGACUGCCCUACGGGUUGUAAACUUCUUUUAUAAAGGAAUAAAGUGAGGCACGUGUGCCCUUUUGUAUGUACUUUAUGAAUAAGGAUCGGCUAACUCCGUGCCAGCAGCCGCGGUAAUACGGAGGAUCCGAGCGUUAUCCGGAUUUAUUGAGUUUAAAGGGAGCGUAGAUGGGUUGUUAAGUCAGUUGUGAAAGUUUGCGGCUCAACCGUAGAAGUGCAAUUGAUACUGGCAGCCUUGAGUGCAGUUGAGGUAGGCGGAAUUCGUGGUGUAGCGGUGAAAUGCUUAGAUAUCACGAAGAACUCCGAUUGCGAAGGCAGCCUACUAAACUGCAACUGACGUUGAUGCUCGAAAGUGUGGGUAUCAAACAGGAUUAGAUACCCGAGUAGUC
rnacentral:rRNA from 1 species